rnacentral:lncRNA from 1 species
UCGGAAGUAAAGGGCUUUUGUUUUACUGAACAGUAACAUCAAAUCAGAGAAGCUGCCCAUGGCUCGGCUCUGUGUAAAUAAAAGAAGGAAUGUACUGUAUGCCAUUAAUUCACCGUGAGGAAUCAAAACUAAGGCUGGACAAUGAUGGCUCCAAUGCAAACACUGCUGUUUCUUUUAACAGGACAAGUUAACAUGAUUUCUCACUGCAUCCAUGGUGGCUCAAGGUUCCCUUGUGUCUUUGAGGCAAGUCUGCUUUUAUUGCUACCUUUCCUAUGAGUGAAUAGCAGUAUGGUUUUUUUACAA